rnacentral:snRNA from 11 species
AGCUUUGCGCAGUGGCAGUAUCGUAGCCAAUGAGGUUUAUCCGAGGCGCGAUUAUUGCUAAUAAAUUAUCUGUGUAUCUUACCAGUGAGGGCUUCAAACAGUGCAUGGAAACUGCCUUGGGAAGAACUGUGGGUUUCAGCUUUGUUG